rnacentral:rRNA from 1 species
UACAGAGGGUGCGAGCGUUUAAUCGGAAUUACUGGGCGUAAAGCGCGCGUAGGCGGCUUUGCAAGUCGGGUGUGAAAUCCCCAGGCUUAACCUGGGAACUGCAUUCGAGACUGCAUUGCUAGAGUAUGGGAGAGGGAAGUGGAAUUUCCGGUGUAGCGGUGAAAUGCGUAGAUAUCUGGAGGAACACCGGUGGCGAAGGCGGGUCUCUGGGGCAACAACUGACGCUGAGGAGCGAAAGCGUGGGGAGCGAACAGG